rnacentral:rRNA from 1 species
CGCUAUCACUCCUACGGGGAGGCAGCAGUGGGGGAAUAUUGGACAAUGGGGGGAACCCUGAUCCAGCCAUGCCGCGUGUAGUGAAGAAGGCCUUAUGGUUGUAAAGCACUUUAAGCGAGGAGGAGGCUACUGAGACUAAUACUCUUGGAUAGUGGACGUUACUCGCAGAAUAAGCACCCGGCUAACUCUGUGCCAGCAGCCGCGGUAAUACAGAGGGUGCGAGCGUUAAUCGGAUUUACUGGGCGUAAAGCGUGCGUAGGCGGCUUUUAAGUCGGAUGUGAAAUCCCCGAGCUUAACUUGGGAAUUGCAUUCGAUACUGGGAAGCUAGAGUAUGGGAGAGGAUGGUAGAAUUCCAGGUGUAGCGGUGAAAUGCGUAGAGAUCUGGAGGAAUACCGAUGGCGAAGGCAGCCAUCUGGCCUAAUACUGACGCUGAGGUACGAAAGCAUGGGGAGCAAACAGGAUUAGAUACCCUGGUAG